AUACGGAGGAUCCGAGCGUUAUCCGGAUUUAUUGGGUUUAAAGGGUGCGCAGGCGGAAGAUUAAGUCGGCGGUGAAAUUUUGCCGCUCAACUGUAAAAGUGCCCUCGAUACUGGGUUUCUUGAGUGUGGAUGAAGUAGGCGGAAUUUGUGGUGUAGCGGUGAAAUGCAUAGAUAUCACGAGGAACUCCGAUUGCGCAGGCAGCUUACUAGGCCAUAACUGACGCUCAGGCACGAAGGCGUGGGGAUCAAACAGGAUUAGAUACCCUGGUAGUCCACGCAGUAAACGAUGAUUACUCGCUGUUUGCGAUACACAGUAAGCGGCUUAGCGAAAGCGUUAAGUAAUCCACCUGGGGAGUACGUUCGCAAGAAUGAAACUCAAAUGAAUUGACGGGG
rnacentral:rRNA from 1 species